rnacentral:tRNA from 1 species
UUAAUUGAAGCCAAAAAGAGGCUUAUCACUGUUAAUGAUAGAAAUGAGUUCGUACUCCAAUUAAA